rnacentral:lncRNA from 1 species
CUCGUGGCUCGGGGGGCCUCACAAUCAUGGUGGAAGGCAAGGAGGAGCAAGUUACAUUUUACGUGGAUGGCAGCAGGCAGAGAGAGAGCGAGCUUGUGUGGGGAAACUCCCCCUUAUAAAACCAUCAGAUCUCAUAAGACUUAUUCAUUAUCAUGAGAACAGCAUAGGAAAGAUCUGUUCCCAUGAUUCAGUUACCUCCCACUGGGUCCCUCCCACAACACGUGGGGAAUUCAAGAAGAGAUUUCAGUGGGGACACAGUCAAACCAUAUCAGUAUGUAUAUACCACAUUAUGUUUAUCCAUUAUCUGCUGGUCAACACCUACGUUAUUUCCACCACUUGGCUAUUGUGAAUAGUGCUGCUACAAACAUAGGUGGGCAAGAAGAAUAUGAAGUCAAGGAAGACCAUCCACAGAAAAGAUGCUUGCCAAACUCCCAGGUUCCUGGCAGAAUGAAUAAUGUGAAUAAAAUGCAUGUUUAGUCCAACAGUCCUUCUUAAGUGGUAUAUAAAUAAAUAGUAUACAAUAAUAGAUUUUGUAUGGUGCAAUUGUUUUUAUUCAGAAAUGUAGAUACAUAGAAAUACAGUAUCUUAAAAACAUAGGAAGUUCCAGGGCUGCCCACUUACUGCUUCCUGUAUCAGGCGGCAUGAGAGUUACUGAGGAUACAAAGAUGAGUGAGACACUGCCCUGUAAAGCCAUAAUUGAGUUCACCUUUAUGAAUCUGUGUCUUAAUUCUGACACAUCAUUUGAAAGUCAUUUUUGGGGUAAAGGGGAAGGAAUCAGGAGAAGAUUAGAAAAAUCUCCAAUGACAUCUUAAUUAUAAAGGUAGGGGAAGCUUUGUUUUGGAGGGCACUUUAUGUAGAACUAAAGUAUUUUACAUAAUCCUAG